CAUCUGAGUUGAUUUUUUUUUUUUUUUUUUAUAUGCUCUCUGGUUUUACUUUUUAUCCAGACUCCUCUCGAAUGUCUAGAAGCUGCCUUGAGAGAAGAAGUGCGGGAGAUAUGGGACAGUAUUCCUAAGUCAGAGCAGCACAAGGGAACUCCUGUCAGUCAUUUUUUUAAUGUUGAGGUCGUUGCUCUUUCUGAUUAUGAAGAAGAGGAAGAGCGAUUUAAAGAUGAGGUGGACGCCCUUAGAGGGUGGUUCUUGGAUAGUACCGCACCUGGUGGGCUGGCAGGAGAUCGAAGGGGGGCAGUUCCUAGUUCAGGAUUUUGUUUUAGUGCUCAGCGUAUUUGGAUGGUCAUUAAGGAGAAUAAGGACUUGGACUUGCUUGCGGACAGGGUGAGUGUUAAUUGAAGGGCAACUGGAUAUAUUGCUGAUAAUGAGAAUGAUAAUGGAUGCAUCAUGCUAUCCGUGUUAAGGUCAUGGUUGCUCACAUACGAUGUGAAGAAAUUGCCGACGAACAAUAUUCCAGUCUUACUUAAAAUGAGGUAUCGAUCUGGUUCUUGCUGGACAUGAAACUUGCUUGUCAUGUUUCACUAUUUUGAAAUGCAAGCAUAUGCAAUUUAUCUAACACAUAUUAAGAUCAGGCGAACUCUUCUUAACAUGUUAGGACUAGCUUUCGAUGAAGGAGGCUGCGCAGUUGGGAGCAAUUCCCGGUUUCGGAAAGAAACUAAAUUCCAUUCUUGACAUGUGUUUAUUUGGGUACGAAUCAUAGACUACGCAUUUCGAUGGGAAUGUCAGAUCUAAGAGGCGGAAGCAGCUUGAAAAAUGGUCACUUCGAGUAAGAAGUUAUGGGGGUGGUUUUCCUUGCUUAAAGUGCUUCACUUUUUUGGGUUCUAUUGUAUGACUACCACUUCAAGCUGCUUGGAACGUGGAAAUAUUUUUCCUUUUUGAUACAUUUUUCUUUCAGUUAGGAUGUUUUCAUUUGAAGUAAGCUUACACAGAGAGACUGUCCGUUGAGGACAUCUUAUCAUAUGUUGCUUAUUGUGUUUUGUUGUUUCGUCAACUGGCAUGACCAGCUUUCCAAGCAGUCCUUGGUCAUAUUUUGUAUGGAUGUCUAGGUGAGUUCAAGGAAAGAUUUGACAAGGCUUUGGAAGGAGAGGAAGAGUUUUUAGUGGCUACUCGUGACUGUACUUGGUCUUAUAUGGCCUUAUUUGACGAACGAUGCGCAGGUAUGGCAACUUGUAAUCUGAUAUUUGUAAAGUCAAUGCUUUGAAAAAUUUGGCCACAAACGAAGGUUUGUCAUUGUGCUUUGUCUUGUAACUAAGCUUUUUCUUGGUUCUUUGACUCUUGUUGUGCUUUCAUUUGCACUCCUUUAGUGGCCUAUUAGUUGUUUUACUUGCAUCAGUUAGAAAUGAAGGUUUGUGUUUGAGACUAGAGGCUAUGUGAAAAUAUGGUCUUGUUGGUAAAUAACACUCUGGGCAUUUAGGAAACUAUUUGUAUGUGUUCAUGCCAUGCUCACUUUUGACUUGUUAUUAGGGGAAUUUUACCACCGAAUGCUUGGAUAAGUUUCGUAUCAUACUUUGAACAGAUGUUGUAAUUGAACAAGUCAAAUGGGAUACGUCUAGCGUACAGGAGAGGUUGCGGAGUCGCAUUGAUGCCCAUGUUGGUUCAGUCCGUGAUACCAAGGUCUCUUAGCUUACGAAAGCACAUAAGGUAGCAUAAUGAGCAGAGAGAUUUCUUCUUCUCUCGAGCUUCUCUCUUUACAGAUGGAGGGCUUUUCCCCUUUUUAUUUAAUGGUGGUUGAUGGGAUCUACAUGAAUUAUAUCAUGUUUUUACAGGCAAGACUGAAGGAAGCAUUGUCUGGACCAGUGGAAGCUCUUUUGAAGGGAGCUACUAUUGAAUCUAAUCGACGAGUAAAUCGCAAACUUAAAGAUGCCUACCACUCCUUCAUUAGCUCAACGACCCUUCGAGAUACUUUAUUUGCUCUUUUUCGUACGAUAGACCUUCCAUAAUCUUCAUAACAUCCAGCCUUCCUUCCUUCAUCUGUUGAUCCAUCUCAUAAGAAGAGAGGGCACUAGAGAAUCGACUUAUGACCAACAUAGUCUCGCGCCUCUCUUUACAGAUGGAGGGCUUUUCCCUUUUUUACUUAAUGGUGGUUGAUGGGAUCUACACGAAUUAUAUCAUGUUUUUACAGGCAAGAUUGAAGGAAGCAUUGUUUGGACCGGUGGAAGCUCUUUUUAAGUGAGCUACUAGUGAAACCUGGUCGGCCAUCAGGACACUUCUUUCGCGCAAGACUAUGUUGGCCAUAAGUUGGUUCUCUAGUGCCCUCUCUUCUUAUGAGAUGGAUCAAUAGAUGAAGGAAGGAAGGCUGGAUGUUAUGAAAGAUUAUGGAAGGUCUGUCAUACGAAAAAGAGCAAAUAAAGUAUCUCGAAGGGUCGUUGAGCUAAUGAAGGAGUGGUAGGCAUCUUUAAGUUUGUGAUUUACUCGUGGGUUAGAUUUAAUAGUACUUGAAAUCCUUAUAUGCUUCAUUUUCUAUCUAGUUUUGCUACACUGUUUAGCCAUGAUGUUAACUAUGUGGAUAGAGUCUGGAGGAGUAGGGAGGAUGUUUGAGAUAUCGCACGACAAGCUCGUUUGGCAUCAUUAAGGUUGCUGUCUGCGAUGGCGGCAAUUCGUUUGGAUGGUGAGAAGGAUCAUAUCGAACAACUUUUGUUGGUUUGAUUGUUGGACAACAAACCUCAUGCCACUGACGGGAGCAUAGAUCGCUUGACUUUAAGCACGUGGGAAGAUGUGAGUUUUGCUUUUAUUGUGCUAGUUCCAAUUAAUGCAGAUCUUCAAUUUGCUGAGAGCACUUACAUUCACUGUUUAAUUGCAUAUUCCUUAGUCCGAAACACUGAUCACGCCCCAGGAGUGCAAAACAAUCUGGAUGCAAUUUAUUGCAGAGAUGCAGCACACCAUUGAUCGAGUAGUGAGGGAAACAAUUACUGCUCAGGCACGUUUUAUUGUCAUUAAAAUGCAUGUUAUCAUCCCCCACCCCACCGAAGCACACUAACACAAGAAAAAUGAAAAGAAAAAGAAAGAGGCUCUAUUUAAUCCAGUGCACUAUAGCGCUGAGAAAUAUUUUCAAUUCCACGAACAUUUGCUGAUUAUUUGAUUAUUUGCACAGUUCUUUUUGGAAUUAUCAGAAACAGAAGAGCCACAAUGGGUGGUCGAAAGGGUGGCCAGU